AAAGAUUUUUGUCUGUAUUCUCUGUUUUGCUUCUAGGGUUUUCACAAAGUCGUCUUCGUCUCCUUACCGUAAAGCACUCAUGGUGCUCCAAAAUGACAUCGACCUGCUCAAUCCUCCUGCUGAGCUCGAGAAAAGAAAGCACAAACUCAAACGUCUCGUGCAGUCUCCCAACUCUUUCUUCAUGAACCACUAUGUUCAGCCAUUCUCAAACAGUUGUAGUGUGUGCAAAAUGUAACACAGUUCUGUGCCAGCCCACUGGUGGUAAAGCAAAGCUCACACAGGGAUGCUUGGAGAAAGAAAC